ACAUCCAGCGAACUUGGCAGAGAUGCCUUGGUGCCUUCGGGAACGCUGAGGCAGGUGCUGCAUGGCUGUCGUCAGCUCGUGUUGUGAAAUGUUGGGUUAAGUCCCGCAACGAGCGCAACCCUUAUCCUUUGUUGCCAGCGAUUCGGUCGGGAACUCAAAGGAGACUGCCGGUGAUAAACCGGAGGAAGGUGGGGAUGACGUCAAGUCAUCAUGGCCCUUACGAGUAGGGCUACACACGUGCUACAAUGGCGCAUACAAAGAGAAGCGACCUCGCGAGAGCAAGCGGACCUCAUAAAGUGCGUCGUAGUCCGGAUCGGAGUCUGCAACUCGACUCCGUGAAGUCGGAAUCGCUAGUAAUCGUGGAUCAGAAUGCCACGGUGAAUACGUUCCCGGGCCUUGUACACACCGCCCGUCACACCAUGGGAGUGGGUUGCAAAAGAAGUAGGUAGCUUAACCCUCGGGAGGGCGCUUACCACUUUGUGAUUCAUGACUGGGGUGAAGUCGUAACAAGGUAAGCGUAGUGCU
rnacentral:rRNA from 1 species